rnacentral:snoRNA from 1 species
AAUUUAAUUUAUGUGAUGAGAUACUAAUGCAACAUAGAGUCAAGCUCUGAGUCAAACAAAGAUUUGAUAUGGAAGAGAAUUGCUUUUAUUAGCUGAUUAUUAUUUU